rnacentral:rRNA from 1 species
UGGGGAAUCUUGCGCAAUGGGCGAAAGCCUGACGCAGCCAUGCCGCGUGAGUGAUGAAGGCCUUAGGGUUGUAAAACUCUUUCACCGGGGACGAUAAUGACGGUACCCGGAGAGGAAGCCCCGGCUAACUUCGUGCCAGCAGCCGCGGUAAUACGAAGGGGGCUAGCGUUGCUCGGAAUUACUGGGCGUAAAGGGCGCGUAGGCGGAUCAGCAAGUUGGGGGUGAAAGCCCGGGGCUCAACCUCGGAAUUGCCUUCAAAACUGCUGAUCUAGAGUACGGGAGAGGUGUGUGGAACUCCGAGUGUAGAGGUGAAAUUCGUAGAUAUUCGGAAGAACACCAGUGGCGAAGGCGACACACUGGCCCGUUACUGACGCUGAGGCGCGAAAGCGUGGGGAGCAAAACAGGAUUAGAUACCCUGGUAGUCCACGCUGUAAACGAUGAUUGCUAGUUGUCGGCAGGCAUGCCUGUCGGUGACGCAGCUAACGCAUUAAGCAAUCCGCCUGGGGAGUACGGUCGCAAGAUUAAAAACUUAAAGGAAUUGACGGGGUCAUAGCUG